rnacentral:tRNA from 1 species
GGACUCGUGGUGUAGCCUGGUUAACACGCCUCUUUGUCAAGGAGGAGAUCGCCGGUUCAAAUCCGGUCGGGUCCGCCA